GCCUUUGGAAAUGCAGAUGAGCCGCCGCCCGGGCCGGGGUUGAACCUUCUGACUCAGCCACCCCCGGCCGCCCGGGCCGCUGGGGGAGGGGCGGCGUCUGGGGUGCUCCCUUUCAGCCCCGGAGCCCGUCUGCUGUGUAUUCGGCCGGUCACAUCUCUCUCCCCCAACGCCCUGAUCCGCCCUCCACCUUCCUCUCCUCCAGGUUCUGGGCCGGAGAAGGGGCGACGUUCGGGCACCCCCCGAAUGGACAAUCUUUCCUUCUGUCAACGGCAGGGGCAGGCCUAGUUUGACUCUGACAGUCCUCCCACUAAGGAAUUCCUGGUGACUGGAAGGGGGAGUGACUCAGGCCCUCAACCUCUAGCAGAGUGCCUUGGCUCCCUCCUGUCGUCCUGGGGAACCUCGGCCCCAGCCCUGCCUCCCCAGCCAGUCACAGCUCCUCCCUGGUCACCCUGAGGGAGCUCAGGGCCCGGCUGGUAGCUGGGUUGCUCUGCUUCUGUCCCCCACUCCUGUGGAGCCUGGCAGGCAACUCCAUGAUCUGACCCCGGUUACCUUGACAGCCCUGCCUGGCCUCCCCUCUCAUGGCCCAGCCACCCCAGAACCUGAAGAGGUUUUCUAGCUGCCGUGCAUUUGCCAGGCUGGGUUACCCACCCUACUUUCCCUGCCUGCCCUCCAGUGCUGCCAGGCCUAGUGUGCCAGCCAGCGCUCAGCCUUCAGUAAAGGGUUCCCCUGCUUCCAACCUCCAUUGCACUGCUUCCCCUAAGACUGUGACCUCCUGGAAGGCUGGAGCACAACUGCCUCUCAAUAAACGUG
rnacentral:lncRNA from 1 species